GACAGAGGUGCCAAGCGUUAGGCGGAAUCACUGGGCUUAAAGCGUGUGUAGGUGGAUGGCUAAGUACCUUGUGAAAUCCCACGGCUCAACCGUGGAACUGCUCGGUAUACUGGUCGUCUUGAGGCACUCAGGGGCGAGCGGAACAAAUGGUGGAGCGGUGAAAUGCGUAGAUAUCAUUUGGAACGCCAAUGGUGAAGACAGCUCGCUGGGGGGUGUAC
rnacentral:rRNA from 1 species